rnacentral:rRNA from 1 species
GAUUAUGGCUCAGGAUGAACGCUAGCGAUAGGCCUAACACAUGCAAGUCGAGGGGCAGCAUAGAGUAGCAAUACUUUGAUGGCGACCGGCGCACGGGUGAGUAACACGUAUGCAACCUACCUACAUCAGGGGAAUAACCCGGAGAAAUUCGGACUAAUACCGCAUAAUACAGGGAUGCCGCAUGGCAAUAUUUGUUAAAGAUUUAUCGGAUGUAGAUGGGCAUGCGUUCCAUUAGCUGGUUGGUAAGGUAACGGCUUACCAAGGCAACGAUGGAUAGGGGAACUGAGAGGUUUGUCCCCCACACUGGAACUGAGACACGGACCAGACUCCUACGGGAGGCAGCAGUGAGGAAUAUUGGUCAAUGGACGAGAGUCUGAACCAGCCAAAUCGCGUGAAAGGAAGACUGCCCUACGGGUUGUAAACUUCUUUUGUACAGGAAUAAAAGACAUUACGUGUAAUGUAUUGCAUGUACUGUACGAAUAAGCAUCGGCUAACUCCGUGCCAGCCGCCGC